ensembl:ncRNA asRNA:CR44512 antisense RNA:CR44512
GAUUGGAAAGCCAGUCCACCUGGCGCGACAGUGAUCGCGGCAAGUACGCGCCCGAAAAUCGAAUUGGUAACAGUACGCGGUGUGGAAUCCAAUUCGAUACCAAUUGCCCAAAGCUGCGAUACUCACCUUCCUUUUGCGUUGCCAUCUUGACCCGAAUGUGAAUGGAUUUUUCUGUUUAAAAGCAAAAGUGUGACAACUAUGUAUACGCAAGCCUUUCGAUUCGGAUUUCCAACUCGAUAUACGAUUUCUCCAGUCGCUGGAUUUUGAGCAACCUCUGCGGCUCUGGCUGUGUAAUUACAAAGAGUUGCGGCGCUUUAAUCGCACGCGCAGGUCGUCGUCGUCGGAUUCACUAACUAGUAGCGCAAACGUAAAACAAAGCGAGUACGGGUACGGAGUCGCGAAGCCUCGGUGGAAGCGGUAGUAGUAAUGAAGAUAAGCACGAUCGUUCCCUGACUGACUGAAGCGCGGCGCGAACCGCCGCAGCAAACAAACGCCCAAGCAAGCACUGCCAAUGGCAACAACACCAACACACCAGCAACAACAGCUAAAGCAGCAGACGCUUUGUAACCCCGACUGCGCAGCUGAUCGCAGACAGGAGCGGAUUCAGUGCGCGCGGGGGCCCAUUCGAUCUGGAUUUACAUGUGAAUGGAAUUGAUGGAUAACACAUAAAUAUACAAAUAAUACGAUAUCAUAGUAUAACAUGGAAAUAAAACUGUUUAAUCUGAGAGC